rnacentral:rRNA from 1 species
CCUACGGGUGGCAGCAGUGGGGGAUAUUGCACAAUGGGGGAAACCCUGAUGCAGCGACGCCGCGUGAGUGAAGAAGUAUUUCGGUAUGUAAAGCUCUAUUAGCAGGGAAGAAAAUGACAGUACCUGACCAAGAAGCCCCGGCUAACUACGUGCCAGCAGCCGCGGUAAUACGUAGGGGGCAAGCGUUAUCCGGAUUUACUGGGUGUAAAGGGGGCGUAGUCGGUUAUGUAAGUCUGGAGGGAAAGCCCGGGGGCCCACCCCGGUAGUGCCUUGGAAACUGUGGAACUGGAGUGCAGGAGGGGCAGGCGGAAUGCGUGGUGUAGCGGUGAAAUGCGUAGAUAUCAGGCGGAACACCGGCUGCGAAGGCAGCCUGCUGGCCCGAAACUGACGUUGAGGCACGAAAGCGUGGGGAGCGAACAGGAUUAGAUACCCGAGUAGUC